AGAGUUUGAUCAUGGCUCAGGACGAACGCUGGCGGCGUGCUUAACACAUGCAAGUCGGACGGUAAGGCCCCUUUCGGGGGGUACACGAGUGGCGAACGGGUGAGUAACACGUGAGGAACGUGCCCUUGACUUCGGUAUAGCUCCAGGAAACUGGUGGUAAUCCCGAAUAUGAGCCUGGCCUGCAUGGGUUGGGUUGGAAAGCUUUAUGCGGUCAGGGAUCGUCUCGCGGCCUAUCAGCUUGUUGGUGGGGUAAUGGCCUACCAAGGCAGCGACGGGUAGCCGGCCUGAGAGGGUGACCGGCCACAUUGGGACUGAGAUACGGCCCAGACUCCUACGGGAGGCAGCAGUGGGGAAUAUUGCACAAUGGGCGCAAGCCUGAUGCAGCAACGCCGCGUGCGGGAUGACGGCCUUCGGGUUGUAAACCGCUUUCAUCCAUGACGAAGCGCAAGUGACGGUAGUGGGAGAAGAAGCACCGGCUAACUACGUGCCAGCAGCCGCGGUGAUACGUAGGGUGCGAGCGUUGUCCGGAAUUAUUGGGCGUAAAGAGCUUGUAGGCGGUUGAUCACGUCGGAAGUGAAAUUCCAGGGCUUAACUCUGGGCUUGCUUUCGAUACGGGUUGACUUGAGGAAUGUAGGGGAGAAUGGAACUCUCGGUGGAGCGGUGGAAUGCGCAGAUAUCGGGAAGAACACCAGUGGCGAAGGCGGUUCUCUGGACAUUUCCUGACGCUGAGAAGCGAAAGCGUGGGGAGCAAACAGGCUUAGAUACCCUGGUAGUCC
rnacentral:rRNA from 1 species